rnacentral:tRNA from 2 species
GCGGGUGUAGUUCAGUGGUAGAACGUAAGCUUCCCAAGCUUAAUGUCGCCAGUUCGAGCCUGGUCAUCCGCU